AUACGGAGGAUCCGAGCGUUAUCCGGAUUUAUUGGGUUUAAAGGGUGCGCAGGCGGCUAUUUAAGUCAGCGGUUAAAUCGUGGGGCUCAACCCCAUUCUGCCGUUGAUACUGGGUGGCUUGAUUGCGGUCGAGGUUGGCGGAAUUCGUUGUGUAGCGGUGAAAUGCAUAGAUAUGACGAAGAACACCGAUUGCGUAGGCAGCUGACCAGACCGCAAAUGACGCUCAUGCACGAAAGUGCGGGGAUCGAACAGGAUUAGAUACCCUGGUAGUCCGCACAGUAAACGAUGAAUACUUGUUUUCGGCGAUAUAAUGUCGGAGGCAAAGCGAAAGCGAUAAGUAUUCCACCUGGGGAGUACGCCGGCAACGGUGAAACUCAAAGGAAUUGACGGGG
rnacentral:rRNA from 1 species